rnacentral:tmRNA from 1 species
GGGGGCGAUCAGGAUUCGACGACGGUUACGAAACCUAAGGUGCAUGUCGAGCGUGUAGUGACGCUCGUAAAUCAAAACACUACAAACGUAUUAGUUGCUAACGAUAAUAGCUACCACGGAGCUAUGGCUGCCUAAUAACAGCCGACUCCCGAUCACUCUGUUUUGUCUAUUGGGUGGAAAUGAUCGCAAUCGAAAAUAGAAUCGUCACAUCAGUUUUCCUGUAGCUGUUGGAUUAAAACCUUUCAGGAUCGCGUGGUUCACCCUGACCGUUGGGUCGUGCUGCGUUAAUUUAAAAACGGAAGCUAAGCAUGUAGAGCCGAAGGCGUAGAGCUGGCGGACGCGGGUUCAAGUCCCGCCGCCUCCACCA